CAACACCAUCAGAAUUAAUGGCAAAUAUGGCUUCGCUCUCAGGCAAACACGGACUAUCGUAAAUUUUACAAAUGCGUUGCUCACCACGACCUUUCCGCAAAGAAAGUCGAGUGGUACUCGAAUGGGCAAGAAUAUUACCACCAAUUGGUUUUUUGGGAUCAGGAUUAAAGGAAAUGCCAUCCACUUGGGCGACCACCUGAUUAGUAAUGACAACAGCAAUACCGAAUUCAUCUGCCAAGCGCUGUAGCGUCCGCAUAAACCUUGCUAAAUGCAUUUGACGAGCAGAGAGCUCUCCACGACCAGAGAAAUCUGUUCUAUACAAGGCAGUACAACUAUCGACAACUAACAAUGAAAAUCGGGAUUCAGACAUCAUGUUUGCCGCUUGUUGGAGCAACUCUAGUUGAUGGUCUGCAUUGUAAGCACGAGCAUAUGCAACGUUAUCCAAAACUUCCUCACCAUUUAAGCCAUAUCGAUCUGCAACAGCCAACAAACGAACAGGACGGAAAGUUCCUUCUGUAUCGAUAUAUAAGCAUUUACCUUCACCACCACCCAUAUCGAUAGGAAGCUGACAGGUUACCGCAAGUGUAUGGCAGAUUUGACUUUUACCGGUACGGAAUUCACCAAAUAAUUCUGUAAUGCUUCCAGUCUCAACGCCUCCUUGUAACAAAGUGUCUAGUUGUUUUGAUCCAGUUGUAAUCGUAAUUAAUUCACUUCUUCGAAUAUGGUACUCAGUGGCGGUGGUAAAUCCCAUAGGAACUAGUUUGCUUGCCUCGCCAAGUAACUUAUCAGCCUUUGCUUCAGAAAUUCCUUUAAUCAAAAGUAGUUGUCGCUUAGGAGUAUAAGCAAUUGAUUCCACCGUGUAGUAUCCGGCUUCAUGAAUUUUUUUUAUGUCGCUAGCAGUAAUCCCAUUGCCUUCCAACAUUUGUAAGGGCAUAGGACCGGCGGCGGCCUCAUCUUCUUCAUCUUGUACAUUCACGUCGUAUUCAUAAUUUGAUUGUGCUUGUCCAUUUUCAUUAUUAUUCAUAUCUGCUGCACUAACUUGCAUUUCCACCUCUGUAUCUGCCAUUAUAACUUGUUAAGCACGAAAUUAUCACUAUUCU